UACGAAGGGGGCUAGCGUUGCUCGGAAUCACUGGGCGUAAAGGGUGCGUAGGCGGGUUUUUAAGUCAGAGGUGAAAUCCUGGAGCUCAACUCCAGAACUGCCUUUGAUACUGAAAGUCUUGAGUAUGGGAGAGGUGAGUGGAACUGCGAGUGUAGAGGUGAAAUUCGUAGAUAUUCGCAAGAACACCAGUGGCGAAGGCGGCGCACUGGCCCAUUACUGACGCUGAGGCACGAAAGCGUGGGGAGCAAACAGG
rnacentral:rRNA from 1 species